AUGCCUGUUCGAGCGUCAUUAUAACCCUCAAGCUUAGCUUGGUGUUGGAGCAUGCUGCUGCAGCUCUUAAAAUCAGUGGCAGUGCCUGUUAGCUCUAAGCGUAGUAAUACUUCUCGCUAUAGACCCCAGCGGAAACGCGCCAGAACCUCUAAUUUUCUAUGGUUGACCUCGGAUCAGGUAGGACUACCCGCUGAACUUAA
rnacentral:misc_RNA from 1 species